rnacentral:rRNA from 1 species
CCUACGGGGGGCAGCAGUGGGGGAUAUUGCACAAUGGGGGAAACCCUGAUGCAGCGACGCCGCGUGAGGGAAGAAGUAGUUCGGUAUGUAAAGCUCUAUCAGCAGGGAAGAAAAUGACAGUACCGGACCAAGAAUCCCCGGCUAACUACGGGCCAGCAGCCGCGGUAAUACGUAGGGGGCAAGCGUUAUCCGGAUGUACUGGGUGUAAAGGGAGCGUAGACGGUUCUGUAAGUCUGGAGUGAAACCCCGGGGCCCCACCCCGGGACGGCUUUGGAAACUGUGUAACUGGAGUACAGGAGGGGCAUGCGGAAUGCCUGGUGUAGCGGUGAAAUGCGUAGAUAUCAGGCGGAACACCGGCGGCGAAGGCGGCCUGCUGGACUGAAACUGACGUUGAGGCUCGAAAGCGUGGGGAGCAAACAGGAUUAGAUACCCCUGUAGUC